AUUGAACGCUGGCGGCAGGCCUAACACAUGCAAGUCGAGCGAGCGGCGGACGGGUGAGUAAUGCCUGGGAAUUGCCCAGUCGAGGGGGAUAACAGUUGGAAACGACUGCUAAUACCGCAUACGAUUGGAUUGCCCAGGUGGGAUUAGCUAGUUGGUGAGGUAAUGGCUCACCAAGGCUACGAUCCCUAGCUGGUCUGAGAGGAUGAUCGGCCACACUGGAAAUGAGACACGGGCCAGACUCCUACGGGAGGCAGCAGUGGGGAAUAGUGGACAAUGGGGGAAAGCCUGAUGGAGACAGGCCGCGUGUGUGAAGAAGUCCUUCGGGUUGUAAAGCUCUUUCAGCAGGGAGGCGGUACUCGCAGAAGAAGCACCGGCUAACUCCGUGCCAGCAGCCGCGGUAAUAC
rnacentral:rRNA from 1 species